GUGUCAGCAGCCGCGGUAAUACGUAGGGGGCGAGCGUUGUCCGGAUUCACUGGGCGUAAAGAGCUCGUAGGCGGUUUGGUAAGUCGGGUGUGAAACCUCCAGGCUCAACUUGGAGAUGCCACCUGAUACUGCCAUGGCUAGAGUCCGGUAGGGGACCAUGGAAUUCCUGGUGUAGCGGUGAAAUGCGCAGAUAUCAGGAGGAACACCAGUAGCGAAGGCGGUGGUCUGGGCCGGUACUGACGCUGAGGAGCGAAAGCGUGGGGAGCGAACAGGAUUAGAUACCCCAGUAGUCC
rnacentral:rRNA from 1 species